UUGCUAUAAAACGAGGUAAGGCAGCAGCUUGGGGGGAUCUUUGACUCUCUCUCUCCCUCUCGCACUCUCCACCGUUGAGCUCCUUGAUUCUUUUCUACUGUUGCCUAGUCUCCUCUCUGACUUGACCGUCGGAGGGUCCCCGCUGGAGUCACCUCCGAUCAGUGCGGACUUCUUUGGAAGGCGCUCGUCUCCGACGAUGAGGGGAUUGGCCGCAACAAU
rnacentral:lncRNA from 1 species